AGAGGGUGCGAGCGUUAAUCGGAAUUACUGGGCGUAAAGCGCACGUAGGCGGCUUGGCAUGUCGGGUGUGAAAUCCCCGGGCUCAACCUGGGAACUGCAUCCGAAACUGCCUUGCUAGAGUAUGGGAGAGGGAAGCGGAAUUUCCGGUGUAGCAGUGAAAUGCGUAGAUAUCGGAAGGAACAUCAGUGGCGAAGGCGGCUUCCUGGACCAAUACUGACGCUCAGGUGCGAAAGCGUGGGGAGCAAACAGGAUUAGAUACCCUGGUAGUCCACGCCGUAAACGAUGAUCACUCGCUGUUGGCGAUACACAGUCAGCGGCUAAGCAAAAGCAUUAAGUGAUCCACCUGGGGAGUACGGCCGCAAGGCUG
rnacentral:rRNA from 1 species